ensembl:snRNA U2 U2 spliceosomal RNA
AUCACUUCUCGGCCUUUUGGCUAAGAUCAAGUGUAGUUUUUGUUUUGGAGUAGGACUAUAUAGAUGAAAGGAGAAAAUAAAACUAAUUAGUGAGAGAAAUUGGCACCUUAU